GAGGGUGUAGUUCAGUGGUACAGAGCUUGCCUAGCACGUAUGAGACCCUGGGUUCAAUCCCAGCACCACCA
rnacentral:tRNA from 1 species